rnacentral:ncRNA from 13 species
GGUCGUGUAGCUCAGUCGGUAGAGCAGCAGACUGAAGCUCUGCGUGUCGGCGGUUCAAUUCCGUCCACGACCA